rnacentral:tRNA from 1 species
GGGGAUGUGGCUCAGUGGUGGAGCACUUGCCUAGCAUGCAUGAGGCCCUGGGUUCAACCCUUAAACUCCU